GGCUAUAUAGCUCUGUCAGUUGAGCAUGGUGCUGACAACACCAAGGUCACGGGUUUGUUUCCUGUUCAGUCCC
rnacentral:tRNA from 1 species